AGCCGCCGCGGGAACACCGGCGGCCCGAGUGGUGAUCGUGAUUAUUGGGUCUAAAGGGUCCGUAGCCGGUUUGGUCAGUCCUCCGGGAAAUCUGAUAGCUCAACUAUUAGGCUUUCGGGGGAUACUGCCAGACUUGGAACCGGGAGAGGUAAGAGGUACUACAGGGGUAGGAGUGAAAUCUUGUAAUCCCUGUGGGACCACCUGUGGCGAAGGCGUCUUACCAGAACGGGUUCGACGGUGAGGGACGAAAGCUGGGGGCACGAACCGGAUUAGAUACCCGGGUAGUCCCAGCCGUAAACGAUGCUCGCUAGGUGUCAGGCAUGGCGCGACCGUGUCUGGUGCCGCAGGGAAGCCGUGAAGCGAGCCACCUGGGAAGUACGGCCGCAAGGCUGAAACUUAAAGGAAUUGGCGGGGGAGCACAACAACGGGUGGAAGCCUGCGGUUUAAUUGGACUCAACGCCGGACAACUCACCGGGGGCGACAGCAAUAUGUAGGCCAAGCUGAAGACUUUGCCUGAAUCGCUGAGAAGAGGUGCAUGG
rnacentral:rRNA from 1 species